CCUACGGGAGGCAGCAGUGGGGAAUAUUGCACAAUGGGGGAAACCCUGAUGCAGCGACGCCGCGUGAGUGAAGAAGUAUCUCGGUACGUAAAGCUCUAUCAGCAGGGAAGAAAAUGACGGUACCUGACUAAGAAGCCCCAGCUAACUACGUGCCAGCAGCCGCGGUAAUACGUAGGGGGCAAGCGUUAUCCGGAGUUACUGGGUGUAAAGGGAGCGUAGACGGGAGCACAAGGCUGGAGUGAAAUCCCGGGGCUUAACCCCGGAACUGCUUUGGAAACUGUGCGGCUGGAGUGCAGGAGGGGUAAGCGGAAUUCCUAGUGUAGCGGUGAAAUGCGUAGAUAUUAGGAGGAACACCGGUGGCGAAGGCGGCUUACUGGACGGUAACUGACGUUGAGGCUCGAAAGCGUGGGGAGCAAACAGGAUUAGAUACCCCUGUAGUC
rnacentral:rRNA from 1 species